rnacentral:rRNA from 1 species
AACGAACGCUGGAGGCGUACCUAACACAUGCAAGUCGAACGAGAAAUCCUGAUUCGUCAGGAGAGUAAAGUGGCGAAUGGGUGAGUAAGGUGAGGGUAAUCUACCCUUAAAUUAGGGAUAACUUUGCGAAAGCGAAGCUAAUACCUGAUAAGACUACUAUCUCUUAGGAGAAAGUAGGAAAAGAUGGCCUCUGUUUCAUGCUGUCGUUUAAGGAUGAGCCCUUAUACUAUUAGCUAGUUGGUGAGGUAAUGGCUCACCAAGGCAACGAUGGUUAGCUGGUCUGAGAGGAUGAUCAGCCACACUGGAACUGAGACACGGUCUAGACUCCUACGGGAGGCAGCAGUGAGGAAUAUUGCGCAAUGGGGGAAACCCUGACGCAGUGACGCCUCGUGAGUGAUGAAGGCUUUCGAGUCGUAAAGCUCUGUUAGGUGGAAAGAAGUAUUCCUAGUGAUAAUACCAUUGGGAUUUGACGUACCACCAGAGAAGCAACC